rnacentral:lncRNA from 1 species
GAAGUAGUAAAAAUAUCGCUCCCACGAGGACUGUGUUAAUUUCAAUUUAGCAAUAAGGUAAAUAAUUAGGAUGUAUAAAUUUCUUUUAGUUGCCCUAGGCAGUAGUUUUGGUUUGCAUAAAAUUAAAUAAACAGAAUGUAAAGAUAGAGUUGGAAAGAAUGAGAGAGAGAUGAGAUCAGGUCUUUCGAAUCAUCUAUGUUCCCCUAAUUGGUAUACUGCACAUAUUCUUAUGAAUGAUUUUCUAGUUCCACGAUAGUUAACAAAAUAGUCCUAAUCAAUCCCUUGAGUUAGGACCCUCUUCUCAAACUACAGCCCCUAAUUCCUUAGGUGGUCUAAUAAUCUUUGAAGGUUUUAAGAACGUUAACCUAAUAUCACUAACAAACGAUUAUCCAUUCCUAGACUAACCCUGUUUAUUAGAACAAUUCAAUUCUGUCUAAGUAGAAAGCUAUGGUCAGUAGUCAUUCAUUCUCACUAAAUCAUGUUUAUAUUUGAUCAGGAUAUAAAAAGCAUUAAGAAC